AUUCCUGUACCGGUGUGUAGUGCGAUGUGGGGACGGAGAAGGUUAACUCAUCCGGGUGUUGGAUUACCCGGUUCAAGCCUGUAGUCGUGGUCCUUAGGCAAAUCCGGGGACCUUAGAUGAGGGGUGAUAACGAGGAAGCUUGCUUCUGAAGUGAGUGAUACCCUGCUUCCAAGAAAAGCCACUAAGCUUCAGCUACACACGACCGUACCGCAAACCGACACUGGUGCGCGAGAUGAGUAUUCUAAGGCGCUUGAGAGAACUCUGGAGAAGGAACUCGGCAAAUUGACACCGUAACUUCGGAAGAAGGUGUGCCCCUAGUAGGUGAAGUCGUACAGACGGAGCCCAAUGGGGUCGCAGAUAAUAGGUGGCUGCGACUGUUUAUUAAAAACACAGCACUCUGCAAAGACGAAAGUCGACGUAUAGGGUGUGACGCCUGCCCGGUGCUGGAAGAUUAAAUGAUGGGGUGCAAGCUCUUGACUGAAGUCCCAGUAAACGGCGGCCGUAACAAUAACGGUCCUAAGGUAGCGAAAUUCCUCGUCGGGUAAGUUCCGACCUGCACGAAUGGCGUAACGAUGGCCACGCUGUCUCCUCCAGAGACUCAGCGAAGUUGAAAUGUUUGUGAUGAUGCAAUCUCCCCGCGGAAAGACGGAAAGACCCCAUGAACCUUUACUGUAGCUUUACAUUGGACUUUGAACAGAUCUGUGUAGGAUAGGUGGGAGGCUUUGAAACCUGGUCGCUAGAUCAGGUGGAGCCAACCUUGAAAUACCACCCUGGUGUGUUUGAGGUUCUAACCUUGGCCCGUUAUCCGGGUUGGGGACAGUGUAUGGUGGGCAGUUUGACUGGGGCGGUCUCCUCCCAAAGCGUAACGGAGGAGUUCGAAGGUACGCUAGGCACGGUCGGAAAUCGUGCUGAUAGUGCAUUGGCAUAGCGUGCUUGACUGCGAGACUGACAAGUCGAGCAGGUACGAAAGUAGGACAAAGUGAUCCGGUGGUUCUGUAUGGAAGGGCCAUCGCUCAACGGAUAAAAGGUACUCUGGGGAUAACAGGCUGAUACCGCCCAAGAGUUCAUAUCGACGGCGGUGUUUGGCACCUCGAUGUCGGCUCAUCUCAUCCUGGGGCUGUAGCCGGUCCCAAGGGUAUGGCUGUUCGCCAUUUAAAGAGGUACGUGAGCUGGGUUUAAAACGUCGUGAGACAGUUUGGUCCCUAUCUUCCGUGGGCGCUGCAAGAUUGAGAGAGCCUGCUCCUAGUACGAGAGGACCGGAGUGGACGCACCUCUGGUGUAUCGGUUGUCACGCCAGUGGCAUCGCCGAGUAGCUAAGUGCGGAAGAGAUAACCGCUGAAAGCAUCUAAGCGGGAAACUCGUCUCAAGAUGAGUCUUGCCGGGGCCUAGAGCCCCCUGAAGAGUCGUUCGAGACCAGGACGUUGAUAGGUCGGGUGUGGAAGCGCAGUAAUGCGUUAAGCUAACCGAUACUAAUUCCUCGUGAGGCUUGACCCU
rnacentral:rRNA from 1 species